GAAAGAAAGAACUGCUGCACGGAUAGUGGAAGUACAGUCCCGAGUGAAGCUACUGCACCACCAUCGAGUUCAAGUGAAGCUACCGCACCACUCGAUCAAAGUCGCAUCAAGUCGAGCGACUAUGAAGCUGGGGACCGUCUGUGUGCCCUUUCCAUUCAUUCCUCAGGUUCCUGCCUCUGUGUCUUCUAUGCACGCAGCCGCUGUGAAUGGAGCUUUACUCUUCGAUUUGUGUCACACUGUUUUGAAGAGUGUCAGCCUGCCUCAGCUACUAUAAUGCAAAUGGGUUUCUGCUGUUAGCUGGGAAUUUCUGAAGAGCUUGCAGUUGGCCACUGGGCUCAGGGUGGUGGAAGCCAAAGGACCAGGACGGCUCUUCUGGGCGCUGCUCCUCAAUCACGAGGGGCCUAUGGCUCAUGAAACCAUUUCCGUGGUUAGACUUACGCGGAGCUGUUGUAUCAUGGAAUAUUAAGUUAUUUCAUGGAAUAUAAUAAUUACCACUGAAAUAUGUGCCUGCAUCCAGAUAAUCAAGAACUCCUGCCAGUUCAACCUCCUAAGUUCCACAGCCACUGGCCUUCCAUGCUUCGUAGGGAGGAGGCAUAGGUAACUGUGUUUUACCUGUAUUGAUUCCUAAUUUUCAAACCUUCUUAGACCAAUGACAGACUUGAUCUUUCUGAGCCUCAGGAACAGCAUCUGUAGAGUGCCAUGGUCAUUGUGUGGAUUAGGAAUGAUGCAUAACAGAAGGUGACUGAGAGUUACAGUGGAGCAAGUAAUCAAUGACAGGAAAUGAUCACUGAUCUGAAGAGUUAGAGGGUUUAUGGCAAAUGAAGAGCCUGAGCUAUAGUGGAGAGGGCUCAGGGAGAGGAGCGUAUCCGUGCAGGAUUCAGUGGAGAGAGCUCAGGGAGAGGAGCGUAUCCGUGAAGGAUUCAGUGGAGAGAGCCCAGGGAGAGGAGCGUAUCCGUGCAGGAUUCAGUGGAGAGAGCUCAGGGAGAGGAGCGUAUCCGUGAAGGAUUCAGUGGAGAGAGCUCAGGGAGAGGAGCGUAUCCGUGAAGGAUUCAGUGGAGAGAGCCCAGGGAGAGGAGCGUAUCCGUGCAGGAUUCAGUGGAGAGAGAGCUCAGGGACAGGAGCGUAUCCAUGCAGGAUUCAGGGAAGGCUCCGGAGUGCAGAUGUGCACCAGGCACAUCAUACAUACAACGCAUACGGUGCAUCAGGCAUGCACAGACACACAGCUUACACAUGCUGUGCCGCUGGAACAAAGGCAGAGAUACACCCUAAACAUGGAAGCAUGCUAUUUGAUCUGCAUCCAUUGCAUAAGAUGUAAGGACAAACAAAUGUAGUCUUGGGUCCUAAGACACAGAAAAUACAGCAGAGUGAACAGGAAACCUACAGAAUGGGAGAACAUUUUUGCAAUCUACUCAUCUGACAAAGGGCUAACAUCCAGAAUCUACAAUGAACUCAAACAAACUUACAAUAAAAAAACAACCCCAUCAACAAGUGGGUGAAGGAUAUGAACAAGCACUUCUCAAAAGAAGACAUUUAUGCAGCCAAAAGACACAUGAAAAAAUGCUCAUCAUCACUGGUCAUCAGAGAAAUGCAAAUCAAAACCACAAUGAGAUACCAUCUCUCACCAGUUAGAAUGGCAAUCAUUAGAGAGUCAGGAAACAACAGGUGCUGGAGAGGAUGUGGAGAAAUAGGAACACUUUUACACUGUUGGUGGGACUGUAAACUAGUUCAACCAUUGUGGAAGUCAGUGUGGCGAUUCCUCAGGGAUCUAGAACUAGAAAUACCAUUUGACCCAGCCAUCCCAUUACUGGGUAUAUACCCAAAGGAUUAUAAAUCAUGCUGGUAUAAAGACACAUGCACACGUAUGUUUAUUGCGGCACUAUUCACAAUAGCAAAGACUUGGAACCAACCCAAAUGUCCAUCAGUGAUAGACUGGAUUAAGAAAAUGUGGCACAUAUACACCAUGGAAUACUAUGCAGCCAUAAAAAAUGAUGAGUUCAUGUCCUUUGUAGGGACAUGGAUGAAGCUGGAAACCAUCAUUCUCAGCAAACUAUCACAAGGACAAAAAACCAAACACCGCAUGUUCUCACUCAUAGGUGGGAAUUGAACAAUGAGAACACAUGGACACAGGAAGGGGAACAUCACACACUGGGGCCUGUUGUGGGGUGGGGGGCUGGGGGAGGGAUAGCAUUAGGAGAUAUACCUAAUGUAAAUGACGAGUUAAUGGGUGCAGCACACCAACAUGACACAUGUAUACAUAUGUAACAAACCUGCACGUUGUGCACAUGUAUCCUAAAACUUAAAGUAUAAUAAUAAUAAUAAAGAAAAUACAGCAAA